GCUAAACGCGAAGAACCUUACCUGGUCUUGACAUGUCUGGAAUCCCGAAGAGAUUUGGGAGUGCCGCAAGGAACCAGAACACAGGUGCUGCAUGGCUGUCGUCAGCUCGUGUCGUGAGAUGUUGGGUUAAGUCCCGCAACGAGCGCAACCCUUGUCCUUAGUUGCCAUCAUUUAGUUGGGAACUCUAAGGAGACCGCCGGUGACAAACCGGAGGAAGGUGGGAUGGACGUCAAGUCAUCAUGGCCUUUAUGACCAGGGCUACACACGUGCUACAAUGGCAGGUACAGAGGGAAGCCAACCAGCAAUGGGGAGCCGAAUCCCAGAAAGCCUGUCUUAGUCCGGAUUGCAGUCUGCAACUCGACUGCAUGAAGUUGGAAUCGCUAGUAAUCGCAGAUCAGCAUUGCUGCGGUGAAUACGUUCCCGGGUCUUGUACACACCG
rnacentral:rRNA from 1 species